UAUAUAUAUAUAUAUAUAUAUAUAGAGAGAGAGAGAGAGAGAGAGAGAAAAAGAGAGUUGAGCUGGAAUACUAUUAAUAAUUUUUGGGUUCUUUUGCUAUCAAUUUUUAGGCGUUAGAUUUAUACUUUAAUUAAUUCCGCUCUUUAGAUCAUACAAUUUAACCAACCAUCCACUCAACCCUGGGGGGACCAUUAAAUCCUAGGGGACCACUAUCAUCCUAACCCUAUAAUUUUUUAUCCAACGGUUAAAAACUCGAUAGCAAAAGAGCCAAAAUAUUAUUAAUAGUAUUCCAGCCUAAUUAUAUAAAUAUAUAUAUAUAUAGAGAGAGAGAGAGAAAGAGAGAGAGAGUCCAGCUACUAUACUCUUAUGAGUACGAUCGUCUUCGUAUUCAUAAGUUAUUUUUUAUUAUAGAGCUUCCGAAUCGACGAUCCAUACCGUUAAACGUUAAAACUUCUAGCAAUCAAAUUUUAUAAUUUUUGACAUCAUUUACCUUACGAUCAAAAAAAUCUCAAAACUGGCAAAUUUUAACGGCUUGUAUGGAAUACUUUCUAGUUUAACGGCGUAAAAGAAUCAGAACCGGUUGAUUUUUUUAUAGAAAAUUAUAUUCACUAUGUAGAUAAAGAUCAAUAACUCUUAUCUUAAAUUGAAGGAUUCAAUCAUCUAUUUUUAGAAGGUCGUUCGAUUUUGAUCGUUCAUUUUAUGCCCGCUUGAUGGAUUUUAUAAUGAUUUCGAAAAAUUACGAAAUUUAUUUUUAGAAGUUUCAAAUACUCUAAAUCAUAUUUAACAGACUGGAUCGUCGAUUCGAAAGAUUUAUCAUCAAAAGCAACUUAUAAGUACGAAAGGCUCUUUACUCAUAAAAGUAUAGUAGCCCUGCUCUCUCUCUCUCUCUCUCUCUCUCUCUCUNNNNNNNNNNNNNNNNNNNNNNNNNAUUGCCAAAUAUGUAUCUAAAAAAUUUAAAAUAAUAAAUCACGCUAUUAAGAAAAAUAUGCUUUAAAUGAUAAAUAAUUAACAAUAAUCUCUAAUGCAAAAUUUACUUUUGAAAUUAAAUAGAAAAAUAAAAUCUGUUAGGAAAUAAAUUUUUGAAAUUAAAUAGAAAAAUAAAAUCCGUUAUCUUAAAAAGAAAAUAUAUUUUGAAAUUAAAUAGAUAAUAUCUAAAAAAGAUAUUUUAAAAUAAAAUAGGAAAAAAUAUCUUUUAUAGGAUUUUCACACCCGUAAUCUGUUAUAGAAAACUUACUUUUGAAAUUAAAUAGAAAAAUUUAUAUUUUAGGAUUUUCACAUCAGUAAUCUGUAGAGAACUUACGUAUUCAUUGCUGUUUCUAUUUCUAUUUUUAUUCUUAUAUUUAAAAUUUUUCGUACGGAAAGAGAAAAAUGGACGCUAAUUUUUCCGCUGAAAAAUGAGUCUGUCGACAGACCCAAAUUUGAAUAUACGUACUUUUAUAUAUAGUAUAGAUAUAUAUAGCAUUUUCUUCCUUCUCCUGUCUUAUUUUUGGGGUAAUUUCAUAGAUACACCUUUUAAAGUCAAAAAUAUCAUAGAUAAAAUUUCAUAGAUACACCUUUUGAAAUUCAAAGUUAAAAUUUUAAAUUUAAAAAUUUAAAAAAUUUAAAAUUUAAAUUCAAAUAUAAUAAGAGAGUAAUAUCAUUAUUCUUUAUUUAUAAAAACCCACUAUUCCAUCUUACCUAACUAAACACUAUUUUUUUAUUCCCAGGAAUAACCCAAUUUUCAUCCAAACGCAAAAUUGAUCUAAUCCCCGCUUAUACCUCAAUUUAUAUCUAUCCCUGAAAUAGCUACUUUUUGCUUAUCCCCCAACCAAAUGAUACCUUUUAAAGUUUAAAAUAUUACACAUACCUUUGCAAUUAUAAAAAAAUAUUGAAAAUGCUCCCACAAAAAUAUUAGGCCAAUUUGCAUAAAAAAAUUCACUGGUUUUGAGAUUUUGCAAAAGUAGGUCGUCUUUUUGAAUUUUGCAGAUUCGGUCUGAUUUUUUAAGAAGAUGACCAAACUACACCACUUUCAAAAUGCAUAAAAAAGACAUACAUUAAAUGUCUUAAAAAAUACAACUGAUAAGUCAUUAUUACAGCUAUUUUUCUCUUGAAAAAUGAAAUUCUCAUUUAACAUAUAAAUAAAAAACUUCAAAUAAAAAAAAGAAAGAAUGUAAUACUGCUUAAAUAGUACAAUAUUUUUUCAUUAUAUUAUUUGCGCGUAAUACACGAGAGCAGAGCUUUUGGUAUUUUCAUGUUGUCAAGCAGUUGAACAAUAUUUUUCGUAAUUUGGUAUAAAAAUUAUGCAAUAUUUGUAUAAACGAUGUAUAUGUUGUACUAUUUGUAUAAAUAUUAAAUUAUUUGGAAGAGAAUGUUACACUAUUUACGAGAAUGUUGCACUAUUUAAAAAGUAUUAUAUAUUUUUUUAUUAUUUAAAUAUUUUUAUUUAUAUAUUAGAUGAGAAUUUUAUUUCUUAAGAGAAAUGUAGCUAUAAUAAUGCCUUGUCUAUUGUAUUUUUCAAAAUAUUUAAUUAUAUAUUUUUAAUGCAUUUUGAAAGAGAGAAGGUUUGGUCAUCUUUUAAAAAAAUCGGAUCAAAUAUGCAGCAUUAAAAAAGACAGUCUAUUUUUACAAAAUAUUAAAAUAAGUAAAUUUUUUAUGUAAAUCGGCGAAAUUAUUAAGGAUUUGAUUU
rnacentral:lncRNA from 1 species